UAUGUAGGUGUGGUUCGUUUGCAUGAAGAAUGAUUUCUUGCAGUUUCAUUGCUGUUUUCCUUGCUUUGCAAGCUUCCUUUACAAAAUCAGACCAGAUUGAGAGGUCACUAGAUGGAAAGAACUGGCAGUUAUCAGAUUCUGCUGGAAAAGUCUUCCAGCCACAGUCCCUGGAAUAGCCUACUAGCACAGAAAGUCAUUUAUGAUCUUUAUUUUGGUGAGAAACUGAGAAUGAUUCAAAUUAUCAAUGGAUACCGUAUGAGACAACAUUUGAUUUGACUGGUGAUGAUGUGAAAAAUCGCGAGUUAUCCAAACGGUGAGAGUGAGUCUCAGUUUGUGUUUAUAUGUCACUCGCCUCAAGAGCUGUUGAUUAAACAACCGAUCAAAGGGAAGCAUAAAUUAUGUGAGUA